rnacentral:rRNA from 1 species
AUUGAACGCUGGCGGCAGGCCUAACACAUGCAAGUCGAACGAGUGGCGGACGGGUGAGUAAUGUCGGGGAAACUGCGUGAUGGAGGGGGAUAACUACUGUAAACGGUAGCUAAUACCGCAUACCAUCGGAUGGGGCCAGAUGGGAUUAGCUAGUAGGUGGGGUAACGGCUCACCUAGGCGACGAUUCAUAGCUGGUCUGAGAGGAUGACCAGCCACACUGGAACUGAGACACGGUCCAGACUCCUACGGGAGGCAGCAGUGGGGAAUAUUCCACAAUGGGCGCAAGCCUGAUCCAGCCACGCCGCGUGUAUGAAGAAGGCCUUCGGGUUGUAAAGUACUUUCCGCGGGGAGGCGUUACCCGCAGAAGAAGCACCGGCUAACUCCGUGCCAGCAGCCGCGGUAAUAC